AGAGUUUGAUCCUGGCUCAGGAUGAACGCUGGCGGCGUGCUUAACACAUGCAAGUCGAACGAACCUUCGGGUUAGUGGCGGACGGGUGAGUAACGCGUGGGAAUCUGCCCUCAGGAGGGGGAUAACGGUUGGAAACAGCCGCUAAUACCCCAUAUGCCGAGAGGUGAAAUGAAUUUCGCCUGAGGAUGAGCCCGCGUCUGAUUAGCUUGUUGGUGAGGUAAUGGCUCACCAAGGCUUCGAUCAGUAGCUGGUCUGAGAGGAUGAUCAGCCACACUGGGACUGAGACACGGCCCAGACUCCUACGGGAGGCAGCAGUGGGGAAUUUUCCGCAAUGGGCGAAAGCCUGACGGAGCAACGCCGCGUGAGGGAUGAAGGCCUCUGGGCUGUAAACCUCUUUUCUCAAGGAAGAAGAUCUGACGGUACUUGAGGAAUAAGCCACGGCUAAUUCCGUGCCAGCAGCCGCGGUAAUACGGGAGUGGCAAGCGUUAUCCGGAAUUAUUGGGCGUAAAGCGUCCGCAGGCGGCCUUUCAAGUCUGCUGUUAAAACGUGGAGCUUAACUCCAUCAAGGCAGUGGAAACUGUUGGGCUUGAGUGUGGUAGGGGCAGAGGGAAUUCCCGGUGUAGCGGUGAAAUGCGUAGAUAUCGGGAAGAACACCAGUGGCGAAGGCGCUCUGCUGGGCCAUAACUGACGCUCAUGGACGAAAGCCAGGGGAGCGAAAGGGAUUAGAUACCCCUGUAGUCCUGGCCGUAAACGAUGAACACUAGGUGUCGGGGGAAUCGACCCCCUCGGUGUCGUAGCCAACGCGUUAAGUGUUCCGCCUGGGGAGUACGCACGCAAGUGUGAAACUCAAAGGAAUUGACGGGGGCCCGCACAAGCGGUGGAGUAUGUGGUUUAAUUCGAUGCAACGCGAAGAACCUUACCAGGGUUUGACAUCCUGCGAACCUCUAAGAAAUUGGAGGGUGCCUUCGGGAACGCAGUGACAGGUGGUGCAUGGCUGUCGUCAGCUCGUGUCGUGAGAUGUUGGGUUAAGUCCCGCAACGAGCGCAACCCACGUUUUUAGUUGCCAGCAUUCAGUUGGGCACUCUAGAGAGACCGCCGGUGAUAAACCGGAGGAAGGUGUGGAUGACGUCAAGUCAUCAUGCCCCUUACAUCCUGGGCUACACACGUACUACAAUGCUACGGACAAAGGGCAGCGAACUCGCGAGGGCAAGCAAAUCCCAUAAACCGUGGCUCAGUUCAGAUCGUAGGCUGCAACUCGCCUACGUGAAGGAGGAAUCGCUAGUAAUCGCAGGUCAGCAUACUGCGGUGAAUACGUUCCCGGGCCUUGUACACACCGCCCGUCACACCAUGGAAGUUGGCCACGCCCGAAGUCGUUACUCCAACCCUUGUGGAGGAGGACGCCGAAGGUGGGGCUAAUGACUGGGGUGAAGUCGUAACAAGGUAGCCGUACCGGAAGGUGCGGCUG
rnacentral:rRNA from 1 species